UACGUAGGUGGUGAGCGUUGUCCGGAUUUACUGGGCGUAAAGGGAGCGUAGGUGGACUUUUAAGUGAGAUGUGAAAUACUCGGGCUCAACUUGAGUGCUGCAUUUCAAACUGGAAGUCUAGAGUGCAGGAGAGGAGAAUGGAAUUCCUAGUGUAGCGGUGAAAUGCGUAGAGAUUAGGAAGAACACCAGUGGCGAAGGCGAUUCUCUGGACUGUAACUGACGCUGAGGCUCGAAAGCGUGGGGAGCAAAUAGG
rnacentral:rRNA from 1 species